rnacentral:lncRNA from 1 species
GGCCGCUCCAAAGGCUCUCUGGGCCUCACUAUCCGUCGACCUUCUACAGUGAUCAACUAUUCUCCGAACUUCUUUCGAACUUUGUCAAUAUCCGACCUUCUCCGACAAUGAGAUUUCUACAGUAAUCAGACUCCAUCCAAGUUUCUAUGGUGGUCGAUCGCCUUCAGGAUUCCAAUCGAGCUCCUGUGAGAGCCGAACUUCUACUACGAGCGGUCCACUCCGAACUUCUACUAUAAGCGGUCUACUCCGAACUCCUACAAUGGGUGGUCUAUCUUGGAUAUCUACUGUAAGCAAAUUUUAUUUGAGUCUCUACUGUAAACACAUUUCUUCCGAACUUCUAUUACAGGUAGACUUCAGCCGAGCUUCUUCGAUGGAUGGACUCUGGCAGCUAAAUUUCUACAAUGAUCGAUCACCUCUGAUGUCUGCCGAACCUCCCCAAUGCCAUCUGAAGUCCCCUGCCGGCCGACCCUCCAGAUUCUUCAUGAAAUUGGACUUCUUCGACGGAUAAUCUUCAAACGAGCUUCCACAUCAGGCGAAUCUCAGAUGGACUUCUCUAGCAAUCGGACUUCUACCGAACUUCACCAACGAAAAGUCUCCAUCCGAG